rnacentral:rRNA from 1 species
UACGGAAGGCAGCAGUGGGGAAUAUUGCACAAUGGGCGCAAGCCUGAUGCAGCCAUGCCGCGUGUAUGAAAAAGGCCUUCGGGUUGUAAAGUACUUUCAGUCGUGAGGAAGGUGUUAAGGUUAAUAACCUUAGCAAUUGACGUUAGCGACAGAAGAAGCACCGGCUAACUCCGUGCCAGCAGCCGCGGUAAUACGGAGGGUGCGAGCGUUAAUCGGAAUUACUGGGCGUAAAGGGCACGCAGGCGGUUAAUUAAGUUGGAUGUGAAAUCCCCGGGCUUAACCUGGGAAUGGCAUUCAAGACUGGUUAGCUAGAGUCUGUAGAGGGGGUAGAAUUCCAUGUGUAGCGGUGAAAUGCGUAGAGAUGUGGAGGAAUACCGGUGGCGAAGGCGGCCCCUGGACAAAGACUGACGCUCAUGUGCGAAAGCGUGGGGAGCAAACGAGGGAUUAGAUACC